CGGGGAGGCCGAGGCGAGAGGUUACCCUCCUGGCGAGAGCGCCGCGCCACUAGUCAACCAUCCCUAAACUUUCCCGCAGCCGCGGCGUUCGCGAGAUCGGCCCGGUGGGCGGAAGCGGACAGUGCCCGAGUGCUUCUGGAUGGGUCUUCCUUAUCCUAGGAUUGCUCGCCAUCCUCAAGCUUGAAAACCCACUUAAAACCAUUUGAGGGGCCUUUUUAAGUGGUGAGUUGGACAUAGCUGAAGGCUAUGGCUGUCCUCUUCCCAGGCGUCUUCCUCUGAGGCUGGCAAAAUAAUGGAGAAACGAUACUGAUUGUAUGAAAGCAUCCCUUUCGGCCAACUCCUGUCUUCCUGGGAAGGCCCCCUGGAAGAAACAGCUGAAGAAGUUGAAGCUGAAGAGUUCCAGUGCCUUGCCGAGACCAUUCUGUUGGCUGGGGGAAUACAUCCCUGCCUAGCUGGAGGAAAGGAGGAGAGCAUCC